GAUGAAGAACGUAGCGAAAUGCGAUAAGUAGUGUGAAUUGCAGAAUUCAGUGAAUCAUCGAAUCUUUGAACGCACAUUGCGCCCCUUGGUAUUCCAUGGGGCAUGCCUGUUCGAGCGUCAUUUGUACCUUCAAGCUUUGCUUGGUGUUGGGCGUCUGUCCCGCCCCCGCGCGCGGACUCGCCCCAAAUCCAUUGGCGGCGGCCCUUGCCUCCCUCUCGCGCAGCACAUUGCGCUUCUCGAGGCGUCGCGGGCCGCGCUCCACGAAGCACGCAAACCAGUCUUUGACCUCGGAUCAGGUAGGGAUACCCGCUGAACUUAAGCAUAUCAAUAAGCGGAGGA
rnacentral:misc_RNA from 1 species